UUUUCAUUCAACUUCCCUUUCUCUCUCUAGUCUAAACCUAUGCAUACUCAAAAGAACAAUACAGUUUAUGCAGUUGGCAACUGUUAUCAGAAUUACAUUUUUUCCAAACUUGUUCUUUCCUUGAUUUUUCACUAGUUGCAUUCACUUGCUGCUUAGAAUUGGAGUAGUUAUUGAGCUUCAAAUCUGGCCUGUGAAGAUAUUAUUAAGUAUGGGGUCAUGAUCUGAAGUGAGUUUGGGAAUUAUUGCAGGAUAUUGAAAAAGAGAAGAGG
rnacentral:misc_RNA from 1 species